GGGCGGUUAGCUUAGCUCUGAUAGAGCAUCAGACUUACAAACUGGUGGUCAUAGGUUCGAGUCCUGUACCGUCCACCA
rnacentral:tRNA from 1 species